rnacentral:rRNA from 1 species
ACGACUACGAGUUUGAUCAUGGCUCAGAUUGAACGCUGGCGGCAUGCCUUACACAUGCAAGUCGAACGGCAGCACGGGAGCAAUCCUGGUGGCGAGUGGCAGACGGGUGAGUAACGCGUGGGAAUGUACCUUCCAGUUCGGAAUAACCAUUGGAAACGAUGGCUAAUACCGGAUACGUCCGAGAGGAGAAAGCUUUAGUGCUGGAAGAGCAGCCCGCGUAUGAUUAGGUAGUUGGUUAGGUAAAGGCUGACCAAGCCCAUGAUCAUUAGCUGGUUUGAGAGGAUGAUCAGCCACACUGGGACUGAGACACGGCCCAGACUCCUACGGGAGGCAGCAGUGGGGAAUAUUGGACAAUGGGGGAAACCCUGAUCCAGCAAUGCCGCGUGAGUGAUGAAGGCCUUCGGGUUGUAAAGCUCUUUUAUCAGGGACGAUAAUGACGGUACCUGAUGAAUAAGCACCGGCUAACUUCGUG